GGGCAAUAGCUCAGUGGUAGAGCAUCUGCUUUGCAUGCAGAACGUCCCAGGUUCAGACCUCAGCACCAUCUCCA